AUUGAACGCUGGCGGCAGGCCCAACACAUGCAAGUCGAACGGUAACAGGAAGAAGCUUGCUUCUUUGCUGACGAGUGGCGGACGGGUGAGUAAUGUCUGGGAAACUGCCUGAUGGAGGGGGAUAACUACUGGAAACGGUAGCUAAUACCGCAUAAUGUCGCAAGACCAAAGAAGGGGACCUUCGGGCCUCUUGCCAUCGGAUGUGCCCAGAUGGGAUUAGCUAGUAGGUGGGGUAACGGCUCACCUAGGCGACGAUCCCUAGCUGGUCUGAGAGGAUGACCAGCCACACUGGAACUGAGACACGGUCCAGACUCCUACGGGAGGCAGCAGUGGGGAAUAUUGCACAAUGGGCGCAAGCCUGAUGCAGCUAUGCCGCGUGUAUGAAGAAGGCCUUCGGGUUGUAAAGUACUUUCAGCGGGGAGGAAGGGAGUAAAGUUAAUACCUUUGCUCAUUGACGUUACCCGCAGAAGAAGCACCGGCUAACUCCGUG
rnacentral:rRNA from 1 species